AUGGACUGCAGCUGGAGAACUCUCCUCCUGGUGGCCAUGGUGACAGGUGUCCACUCCCAGGUGCAGCUGGUGCAGUCUGGGGCUGAGGUGAGGCAGCCUGGGGCCUCCGUGAAGGUCUCCUGCAAGGCUUCUGGAUUUACCUUCACCAGCUACUACAUGUACUGGGUGCGACAGGCCCCAGGACAGGGGCUUGAGUGGGUGGGGAGGGUUGACCCUGAAGAUGGAGAAACAAAGUACUCACAGAAGUUCCAAGGCAGAGUCUCCAUCACCGCAGACAAGUCCACGAGCAUAGCCUAUAUGGAGCUCAGCAGCCUGAGAGCUGAGGACACCGCCGUGUAUUACUGUGCAGCAGGGCUGGGCUGCAGUGUCCAGUGUGAGGUGCAUGGCUAUGACAUGCACUGGGUCCGCCAGCCUCCAGGAAAGGGCCUGGAGUGGGUCUCAGAAAUUAGUAGUAGUGGUGAUACCACAUACUAUGCCGACUCUGUGAAGGGCCGCUUCACCAUCUCCAGAGACAACGCCAAGAACACGCUGUACCUGCAAAUGAGCAACCUGAAAGCCUAG